GAGGUGGCAAGCGUUGUUCGGAAUUACUGGGCGUAAAGGGCGCGUAGGCGGCCUUCUAAGUCAGACGUGAAAUCCCCAGGCUUAACUUGGGAACUGCGUCUGAUACUGGAGGGCUCGAGUGCGGGAGAGGGAUGUGGAAUUCCAGGUGUAGCGGUGAAAUGACGUAGAUAUCUGGAGGAACACCGGUGGCGAAGGCGGCAUCCUGGACCGACACUGACGCUGAGGCGCGAAAGCUAGGGGAGCAAACGGGAUUAGAUACCCCGGUAGUCCUAGCCCUAAACGAUGAGUGCUUGGUGUGGCGGGUAUCGAUCCCUGCCGUGCCGAAGCUAACGCAUUAAGCACUCCGCCUGGGGAGUACGGUCGCAAGGCUG
rnacentral:rRNA from 1 species